rnacentral:rRNA from 1 species
UACGGAGGGUGCGAGCGUUAUCCGGAAUUACUGGGUUUAAAGGGUGCGUAGGCGGCCAAGUAAGUCAGGAGUGAAAAGUUUGCGGCUCAACCGUAAAAUUGCUUUUGAUACUGCUUAGCUAGAAUCAGGAUGAGGUUAGCGGAAUGUGGCAUGUAGCGGUGAAAUGCAUAGAUAUGCCAUAGAACACCAAUUGCGAAGGCAGCUGGCUAGACCUGUAUUGACGCUGAGGCACGAAAGCGUUGGGGAGCGAACAGG